UGUUCAUGCAUAACAAAUAAUAUUGGCUCAAGUCGGGUAUUAUUAUCUCUAGGUUUAACCCUUUAAUUGGGGCUAUCAAUCUCUUGAAUUUACCCCAAUUCCUUGUUAGCCUAAUUUUCCUAGACUUAGUCCCUCUUUCUCACGAAGAGUCUAAGUCAUAAAGGCACGAAUCAGUAUUUGCAACCACUAAUUCUACAAUUAAAGCAUUAAUUAGGCUAAAUAUCAGUAGCCCAUAAACAAUUAAGCCCUAAAAUUCAAAACCCAUUAAAUAUCCACACUAAGGUUGGGUCACAACCCUAGCUAUGGAUUUAGCUACUCAUGAAACUAGCAGAAAUCAAGGAUAAAGAUGAAAUAUAAGCCAUAAUAUUCAAAUACAAGAUGAAAAUCUAAAGAUUGAAGAUGAAUCUACUCUAGAAUUACUCAAAAGGCAAAAACGAGUCGUUCACGUGUUCUCCUUGACAAAACUUAACCUAAUAAUGUGAAAAUAAUCUAUUUAUACUAGGCUGAAAUUCCCAGACAAAAAUGCCCCUACAGAGAAUUAGCCGCGUAAUAAUGACCGCAGUCCGCGUUUCUUCAAUUCUGGGCUUGGGUUGGACUUGGUUUCGUGGACAGCGUAAUUUCAUCCGCGUUCGCGUGUGCUUCCAUCGCGGCCACGUAAUUUGAACGCGAACCGCAUUCUUCUAUUUAAGCAUGACUUGCAGGGUUUCUGAACUUCAAUCACCGUUCUCAGCAAAAAUACCACCACAGCUGCGUUAGAUAUUUCGCGACUGCGUUAGAUAUUCCGCGGCCACAUCAGAUAUUCUAUGGCUGCACUUUUCCAUUGCAGUUAGCGGUAGAAUUUGUGCCCAAAUUAGCCUCUCUGAACUUUACUUUAGCGGGCCGUAUAUUUGUGGACGCCUCAGCGGUGUUCCUCAAGCGACCACGUAUUUUGCUCGCUCUCCGCGCUCCAAUUCCCAGUCUUUAGUCUGUGCAAGUUUACUCCUUCAUGAGUUUAUUUUGGCUUCUUUGCCUCAUUUUGACCAAACCUUGUAAGUAAGCAGAGUAAAUUAGUUUUUGGGAAUACUUUUAUACAUUUUUGGUCCAAAACCUAAGCAAAAGAGAACACAUAAUAGGUUAAAAUCCAUAGUUACCACUACUCAAUGCAAUCAUCUCUCAUCAGCUCAUUGCUGCUACCCAAGCACCUGUAGACAUGGAACCAAUGUUCAACAUUCUUCUCUAUCCCUUCACUAGAUUUGUGAUCCUCCUUGCAUUCCUUACCCUUUGGUUCGUAAAACCACAAGCCAUAGAGUAGGAAAAUAUUUACCAGAAAGAGAAAAGGAGUAAGCUUAAUAUAUAGUUCAUUAUGCCUUGAGAACAAAUUCAACAAUUUUUGUAGCCCCUUAUUCAGUUUAUCAGGUUUACUAUUUCUUACCUCCAAUUUUAUAUAUACUUCGGGCAGCGCCCCAACGCUCCAAGAACUUGUUGGCUAGCCUAUCAGAGUAUGUCAAGUUUGGAUCCAUAGUUGGGCCUACCGCAAUGAUACCCAAUCAGAAGAUUCAUAGCUAAAGUUUUCUAUAAUCUAAAAGAAAUCACUAGACAAUUUAAUUUUGGAUGAUAUUAGUUUGACUCCUAGAUGCUCUAAUCAGUCAAUACUAAAAACAUCUUAGGAUUUUAUUGAUACAUCAAACAACAAGCAAUGGUUAUGAAAAGUACACGAACAAAAGACAUAUGCAAAGAUAAAUGCAAUGUAGAAUCUUCUACACAUAAUAUACAAUACUUUAAAGCAUGAAUUGACGUACUCGACUGGAUACAUUCUAGUUUAUAGAACUCUUGUACACAAAAUACUUGACUUCACCCUCCUACAAAAUAACAUCAAUCAAACACAAACUACUGCUCAAUAGAGACAGGUAAAUGCCAAGUUAACAUUAGCAUGGAAAUCAAGAUAAAAUGCCAUAAUUUGCACCCAAAAAAAGAGAUUAUUGCUAUUCAAUACAGAAAAGUGAAGUAUCAUGCGAGAGGUUGAUGAAGCACUUUUUCAAGAAACUCAACACAAGAAAACUGAGCAUAAUUGAAGAAAAGGGUAUACCCUUAAUUGAUCUCUCACUGGUUCUAACCUCUGACCCCUCCAACUCCUUACAUUAUAAAAUCUUGUAGCAGAGUUAUGCUAACCGGGUAUGUUUUCAAGUGAUAAACCAUGAAGUUCCAUCAGUAUGCCGUGAAAAGAUAGAUGGAGAAAUUUUUCUUACAACCCAUAGUGGAGAAGUGACUACAGAUUAAACCUGUGAUAUAUGUUUCUAUAAUACAGAAACCCAUAAUAAGAAUGUUAGGGGUGGGAAAGAAUUUUUGAUUUUCUACAGUCUAGCAACUAUAGAUAUGAAACUCAAUAUUUAAAACUCAGAAUAACAUUCAUAAUCCACAAAAACACUACAAGUCAUUUUAUUUAGCUAUUGUCAUCCCUGAAAAGAAUCCACCUAACUUAGUAUAAGAGAGAUUAACUGAUAGAAAAUGGGCUAUAUUCAUUCUAGUUCUAUUCUUUUAGGAUUCCAAGAAAGAGAUGGGAGAAGAAGAGAUAGAGUUUCUUGAAUUACAUCAUAAAAUGCUGGAGGAGCAAAGUGAAUUGAUCAGAUUCAAAAAAGGAGCAGAGUCAUUGAUAAGAUUGACCUGCAACUAGCAAAGGAUUUUAUAUAUAACUACUGCAUCCUAAGAAGUUUAAUAUAUUUAAUUAGAAAUAGAAGAUAAUAACCAAUCACGAAAACAUAAAUCACAACUGCUACAAGGAACUCGGUAAUAGAAAAGCGAGUGAGUUAUUUUUUCUUAAGCAUAUGACAGUUAAAAUUCAAUCUAUCUAAUUCCAACAAGAUAGAGUUAGAAUAUUCUCUCUAGAAAUAUAUAGAUCAGACGAAAUUGUGUAACAACCAGAAUUAUUCAACAUAAAUAGUAAUUUAUAUAUACUAUAUUGAUCUCAACAACUAGAAUAUUGCAACUCUAGAACGUAAACAACAAAUGAAAAUGGCAGAACUACAUAAAUAUGAUAGGUAACCAGAAAGGGGAUAGGGAAUUAGAUUGAUUCAGAAAAGGACUUGAGAAGCACAAACUUUGGCUAAGCAUGAUCACAAUACACAUAAUUUUAAAAACUGCUAAUGACACCCCCUUUAUCCUUUUGUCACAUGCUUCCUAACUCAACCUGGAUUCCAAGCAAAUGUCUUCUUGGGCUGUCUAAUUCCUUGGCAUUUUGCUGUUUAGCACCAUGCCCAAUAGCUUGGCCAACCUUUGUCCAAACAACCGGCCCAUAAACAUAUCGGAGUUAUCCUUGUUAACAACAAAGUGGUAGAGGUACAAAGUUAUAAUACAUGUGCAGAUUAAAGUUGGAAAAAUAGUUAUAAGUUUAAUAUCCAACUAUUUUAUAUUUUGAACAAACUCUAACAAAAAAAGGAACUAAAGAGAGUAGAUAAUUGCAUUGGGUCAGCCACUCUAUGAAAGAAAUUCAAACAUUAAUCUCACUCUUUAGAUUAAGAACCACUCAAUUUUGAGGUAUAUUUUUGUAAAUGGCACAUUUAAGUAAGACAUACUAAUGAAUAUCCCUUGUUCCAGCUCAAGAGACUUCAAUAUAUGUAGCAUUUGAAGACUACUCAGCAUUUUCAAUUAUGUCGAAGAAUAUAGAGCAUUUCCCCUGUUAAUAAUUCAGUUUUGUUAAUCGACAAAGUGAGCAAAGUGUAUACUAGAAUUUUGUUAACUUAACCAUAAAAUAUGCAACUUUCAACAAGUAUAUUGCGUAUAAUUACAAUAAUAGCUUAAUAAUCUGUUCACAAAAGGAUAGUACCUCCAUGUUUCGAUCUUGAGCAUUUCAACCAAUAGCAAUGUAACAUCCAUCUGAAAUAAUCAUCUCACAACAAAUAUCUCGACUCUGCCACUGUAAUCAUUAGAAGUUAAAAUUGACAAACCCUAGUUGCUUUAAAAAGAUCAAAUAUGUUAUGCGCAUUCGCUUAGAAAGUAAUGAAAAUUUGCAUAGAUGUUCAACUUAGCAAUCACAUAGCACUAAUUGAAGCAAAUCAAACAGAGAAUGUUUGAGAUAACCAAAUCGCAUUUGACGAACAGAGCAAACAAAAUCACGAAGAACAGAAAACAUAAUAUAAACAAUUGUGCAUGUGAUUCUACAAUUCUAAGAGGCAGGGAAAGUACAACGCGUGGCGAACGAAGAGUGUGAUUCUUAUUCUGCAAGUUGACGGGCGGCGGCGAUGGAAUGGAGGAACAUACGACGAUGGUGGGAGCGGAGGCAUUUUGGUGAGCAGGACAAAGGGAGGGAAUUUUUGAACAGUAAAAAGGAAUUGGAGAGAAGUGCACAAUUAUUAAAGUGGUCUCUC
rnacentral:lncRNA from 1 species